AAAUCUUCGUUGACCCGCUAAAAUCAUCAAACAUGAAUUCGAUCAAGCUGUUGCUGAUUCUGAGCGUUGGAGUCUUUGGCGCGAUAUUUGCCGUCGCUGAUGCCUCACCUGCCAAAGAAAAAAUUGACUAGAUCAGUUACCGAUCGAAAACUAAUUGUCAGUCGUGUCUCGUUUCAACGCGACGCAUACGUAUGCAGACUUACAUAUAUACACUUAAAUGAAUCUUCACACCUUCGACCAAGUUACGCGCGAGUUUUACCUGCGAUCCGCGUUCCGGUAUCCUGUUCAAAUACAGCUUGAAUUCAAACACCGAAACUGAAGAUGUGAAAAAAACAUGUCUAAUUUGUAACAACGAUAAUAACAAUAGUAACAACAAUGUGUAUUCCACCCUGCAACACGUUGCGUUGAAAAAUAAAAUGGCGCGUAUGUGAAAAA